UGGAAACGACUGCUAAGACUGGAUAGGAGACAAGAAGGCAUCUUCUUGUUUUUAAAAGACCUAGCAAUAGGUAUGCUUAGGGAGGGGCUUGCGUCACAUUAGUUAGUUGGUGGGGUAAAGGCCUACCAAGACUAUGAUGUGUAGCCGGGCUGAGAGGUUGAACGGCCACAUUGGGACUGAGACACGGCCCAAACUCCUACGGGAGGCAGCAGUAGGGAAUUUUCGGCAAUGGAGGAAACUCUGACCGAGCAACGCCGCGUGAACGAUGAAGUAUUUCGGUACGUAAAGUUCUUUUAUUAGGGAAGAAUAAAUGAUGGAAAAAUCAUUCUGACGGUACCUAAUGAAUAAGCCCCGGCUAACUAUGUGCCAGCAGCCGCGGUAAUACAUAGGGGGCAAGCGUUAUCCGGAAUUAUUGGGCGUAAAGGGUGCGUAGGCGGUUAAAUAAGUUUGUGGUCUAAGUGCAAUGCUCAACAUUGUGAUGCUAUAAAAACUGUUUAGCUAGAGUAAGAUAGAGGCAAGUGGAAUUCCAUGUGUAGUGGUAAAAUGCGUAAAUAUAUGGAGGAACACCAGUAGCGAAGGCGGCUUGCUGGGUCUUUACUGACGCUGAGGCACGAAAGCGUGGGGAGCAAACAGGAUUAGAUACCCUGGUAGUCCACGCCGUAAACGAUGAGUACUAAACGUUGGGUAAAACCAGUGUUGAAGUUAACACAUUAAGUACUCCGCCUGAGUAGUACGUACGCAAGUAUGAAACUUAAAGGAAUUGACGGGACUCCGCACAAGCGGUGGAUCAUGUUGUUUAAUUCGAAGGUACCCGAAAAACCUCACCAGGUCUUGACAUGCUUCUGCAAAGCUGUAGAAACACAGUGGAGGUUAUCAGUUGCACAGGUGGUGCAUGGUUGUCGUCAGCUCGUGUCGUGAGAUGUUGGGUUAAGUCCCGCAACGAGCGCAACCCUUAUUGUUAGUUACCAGCACGUAAUGGUGGGGACUUUAGCAAGACUGCCAGUGAUAAAUUGGAGGAAGGUGGGGACGACGUCAAAUCAUCAUGCCCCUUAUGACCUGGGCUACAAACGUGAUACAAUGGCUGUUACAAAGGGUAGCUGAAGCGCAAGUUUUUGGCGAAUCUCAAAAAAACAGUCUCAGUUCGGAUUGAAGUCUGCAACUCGACUUCAUGAAGUUGGAAUCGCUAGUAAUCGCGAAUCAGCAUGUCGCGGUGAAUACGUUCUCGGGGUUUGUACACACCGCCCGUCAAAC
rnacentral:rRNA from 1 species